rnacentral:tRNA from 1 species
CUCGGUGUGGCGCAGUCUGGCAGCGCACCUGCUUUGGGAGCAGGGGGUCGCGGGUUCAAAUCCCGCCGUCCCGA